UGACGAAGGGGGCUAGCGUUGUUCGGAAUCAACUGGGCGUAAAGCGCACGUAGGCGGAUCUUUAAGUCAGAGGUGAAAUCCCAAGGCUCAACCUUGGAACUGCCUUUGAUACUGGGGAUCUUGAGUCCGGGAGAGGUGAGUGGAACUGCGAGUGUAGAGGUGAAAUUCGUAGAUAUUCGCAAGAACACCAGUGGCGAAGGCGGCUCACUGGCCCGGUACUGACGCUGAGGUGCGAAAGCGUGGGGAGCAAACAGG
rnacentral:rRNA from 1 species